UCGAACUCGCGACCUUUCGCUUACGAAGCGAACGCACUACCACUAUGCUACGGAGGCAACGCGACGCCUGAAGCUUUGAACCAAUUAGCCUUCACAGGAAACUACAAAAUCUCUUUCAAAACCUUCUCCUGCACGAUAGGGUUUAGGGUUUAGGCGACGAGAUGUGCGGAAUAGGUUUGGUUGUCGCCGGCGUACGCAUCGAUUUAUCGUUAAUUCUUCUUGCCAAUUCCAGUCCUCGACCUACUCAACCUAUGUUCGUACGGGUAUCUAAACUCUAUGCUCUCUGGAUAAUCUCAGACGAGAAGUUCAAGAUCACAUGCGAACCGCUACUAAUAAUUUGAGCAUAUAACGGUAAAAUAAUUGGUUGCACCAGGUAUUUUAGUAUUGAGCUAAACUAAUUGACGAGUGACGAUUUUAUCAAAAGGGAAUGGGCUUUUUUCUUUUUGUUUCUCAAAGGAUAACAAGCAAGUUGGGAAUGAAGGAUAUCCAUUCAUCUACUUGAGAGGUAGUGUCGGGAGAUAAGCAGUUUAUUUUCGUAGCUUUAUCAGGUCAAUCCGAUGGGUUUGUGCCUUGUUCAUUUAUCCUUUUAUCCAUCAUUUGUUGGUUAUUUUUUGGUUAUUCUUUUCUGGUUGUUGUGGUCAAAAGUGGGCUAACUCUUGAUCCUUAUCUUUUUGUUUGGUUUCAGACUAGGUGGUUAGAUUGUGUCAUAUUUUUGAGGAAGUCGGUUGUUAACACUCAGAAUACUAUUUUCCUGGAAAUGAAAUACGAUUUUCUCUUGCUUAAGUUUUAACAAUAACUGUUAAGUUUCCUUGGUCAAUCUGUCAGAUUGCUUUCUGGUUCAUAGCCACUUGAAACCUCUAAUAUUGUUGGGCAUGUUAGCCCGGUCAUGGUGGAUACAACUCUGUAGUCAACAAAAAUAGCAUGGCACAGUAGAAAAGAUCUGCACAAUUAACAACGUUCUACCUCAGCAGAUGGAGAAAUAAAUUACUCAGACAACUUAACUAGAGAGACAAAGUUGGGAAGAACACUGGUAUACUUUGUGUAGUGGACAAAAAGAUACCACAAAGAAUGAAAACCCUGAAUUUAUCACCACAGGCUUGAAUGAACUUGAAGAAAGAUAUGUUAAAAUGAAUUUUGAUGCUGCCUUUGUCAGGGUGGUUGGGAGAUGGUGAUGGUAUGAUAGCUAGGGAUAAUCAAGACAAGUACUAGCUGCUAAAACUUGCAGUGAGUGAGAGGACUAUUUUCUACAGUUGCUGCUGAAAUUCUAGUUGCGAUAGUGGCUCGUGGGUGGGUUGCUUAUUGUCACGUUCCAAGGACAGUAUUUGUAAUUUUUUUUUUCUCUUUCUGUUAUAGAUAUUUAUCCUUAGUUAUAAGUAAUUAUGAUUUCCAGUUAUACUGCACAUGGGUGCAUGGGCUGUGAGGCUAUAAAUAAGCUACAGCUAGAGGAUGGGAGGGCAUAUGAAGGAAUGAAUUGAAUAUUUUUGUUAUUUCUCUCUCACUCUCUGUUACCUUUCUUUCAAGUAUUCUUCCUCUUUCUUGUUGUUCCCCUCAUUUCCAUCUAUACACUCCCUUCAAAUUAUGCUCUCUCGAUCUCUUGGUUAUUAUUCGGUGUGAGUGAAGGCCUCCAAUAUGCCAGGCUUGUGGAGAAAAAUGCCAACAGCAAAGAAGACCUUGUGAACAUUAGAGAUGCAGCAGAGAUGAUUUGGCUAGGAGUUGAUCUUUACCAAAAGGGGCUGGACAUUGAUCUUCAGAAAAUAGCUCUUGAAGCAAAGACCUCUCGGGAGACAUUGGAAAGACUUUCCAACAUGGCUAGGAAUAUUUUUGCGAAAACUGAAAGAAACGCAAAUGUACGCUUCAAGGAUAAUCGAUUCAACUGGCCCACCAAUGCUAUAGCCGCUAAUACAAUGUACAGAAUCAGUCAAACUAUGCUGCUGAACUGGGAAGAAAGCAAUAAACAGACAGACAAGGGAUUGUUUGAGCAAUCAUCUCUUGAAAUUGCAGAUAUAUUGGGUGCUUGUCUUACCAACUUACCGCACAUCAUAUAACUAGAAAGUGCAUCCGCAAUAGUUCCCACGGGCGUAGUACAGUUGGUUUUCAGGUAGCAGAUUGCACCCAAGAAAGUGCAUCCGCAAUGCUAUUGAAGAAAGUGAGGAAUGUGUCAGACAUGCAGCCUGCCUUCUUGGUGAAACUGAAGAUAUUCUUAAAGUUCUUCAACAGCUUGAAUUUCCUUUUUUGGAACCUGACCAAGCAGUCUAUAUCCAUAACUGGCAAGCUUUAAUCAAGCAGAAGAAUUGUCCAGCCCUUAUUUCUUCAUUGAGAUGUGUCUAAUGAUGGAGUAAGAUGGUUUGGGUGAAGAAAUCAACGUUGAACAGUUCAUUUCAGUAGUCAUGCAUGGUUCUCUUCCGCUUUUUUUUUUUCUUUUUCCUUCCAGAGCUAACAUGAAUAAGAGAUCAGUGGGAGCAUGCUGGUCAAGUUCACAAACAUUUGGAAGCAUAAUCAGCCAGAAGGGAGACUAUUUUGGGGAAAAGGAGAAGCAGAAUCAGUCUCAGUUUAGUUUUAUUUUUA